rnacentral:rRNA from 1 species
GACGAACGCUGGCGGCGUGCUUAACACAUGCAAGUCGAACGGUGAAGCGCCUUCCUUUUUGGUGGGUGUGGAUGAGUGGCGAACGGGUGAGUAACACGUGAGUAACCUGCCCCCUUCUUCUGGAUAACCGCAUGAAAGUGUGGCUAAUACGGGAUAUUCUGGGUCUGUCGCAUGAUGGGUCUGGGAAAGAUAUUGUUUCGGUGGGGGAUGGGCUCGCGGCCUAUCAGCUUGUUGGUGGGGUGAUGGCCUACCAAGGCGGUGACGGGUAGCCGGCCUGAGAGGGUGGACGGCCCCACUGGGACUGAGACACGGCCCAGACUCCUACGGGAGGCAGCAGUGGGGAAUAUUGCACAAUGGGCGCAAGCCUGAUGCAGCGACGCCGCGUGAGGGAUGGAGGCCUUCGGGUUGUGAACCUCUUUCGCCAGUGAAGCAGGCCUGCCUCGUUUGUGGGUGGGUUGACGGUAGCUGGAGAAGAAGCGCCGGCUAACUACGUG